CCCCCACCCAUGUGUAUAGGACCCCAAAUGAUCACCAUUGAAUUUGGCACGGAGCUUUAAAAAAGUUAUCACAUCGGUAUGAAACUUGACUUUUUUAGAGAUCCGUGUCAAAUUUAAUGGUAAUCCUUUGGGGUCCUACACACAUGGGUGGGGG
rnacentral:pre_miRNA from 1 species